rnacentral:rRNA from 1 species
CCCCUCAAGAUGAGAUUUCCCAGUAUGUAAGACCCCUUGAAGACGACGAGGUAGAUAGGUUGGGGGUGGAAGUGCAGUAAUGCAUGGAGCUGACCAAUACUAAUCGGUCGAGGGCUUAUCCUA